rnacentral:lncRNA from 1 species
UAGAAAUAAAAGCUGAAAUAAAUCAGUCUCUCUACUAUUAUUCUGACAUUUCACAUUCUGAAAAUAAAGUGGUGAUCCUAACUGAUCUAAGACAGGGAAUUUGUACUUGGAUUAAAUGUCAGGAAUUUGAAAAACUGAGUUUAAAUGUAUUUUGCUAAGGUGUAUGUAAUCUCCCGACUUCAACUGUACAUGCAUAUUAAAAGUUCCAUUUCCAUUUGAAAUCUUUUGAACAUCAGAGCAAUCUUGAGGGAAUCCUAUUUGAGUCAGAAAAAGAUAUUCAUAUGAUAGUUUGAACCAAGACUUAAAAAUAACCGAUAUUGACACAAGAUGUAAGAACACAACAUACACAAUCACAGUUAACAAAAAUAUAUGUUUAAUCUAGCAUAAACUCAUAUAUAGAAUUUAUUAUACAAGAGACCAAAUUCACAAAUUCUACAGCACAACAACAGUCAUGUCUUAAUUGUAAAACUAAUGCUAUAAAGUAAAAAAGUUAUGGGCGGAGUUAAAAAUGUACUGUCCGAAGUAUUACAAUGUAAAUUUACUUUUAAUCUGUCUGUCUGCAUAUUUCAAGACAUGUCAUAUGAGGGUGCAGUAAGAUACCUGAUGGGUUGGACGAUACUCUUCUCGUCAUUUAUCUUGAAAAAACGUAUACUUAAAAACUGGAAAUCAACCAAUCCUCCAUCGUUAAGACAAUGUAAAAAUCAUAUGCUUCUUUAUCUAAGUAUUGAAAGAGUGUUGGUGACAAAGUGGAACAAAAUGGUGCAAUUUGAAGACAUGUGGUGGAGAGUAAUACAGGCACUGGGGAUAGGGGUGAGAACAGGUGGGUCUGGGCAGGGUGAGAACUGGUGGGUCUGGGCAGGGUGAGAACAUGUGGGUGUGGGCAGGGUGAGAACUGGUGGGUCUGGGCAGAGUGAGAACAGGUGGGUCUGAGCAGGGUGUGAACAUGUGGGUCUGGGCAGGGUGAGAACUGGUGGGUCUGGGCAGAGUGAGAACUGGUGGGUCUGAGGAGGGUGAGAACAUGUGGGUCUAGGCAGGGUGAGAACUGGUGGGUCUGGGCAGGGUGAGAACAGGUGGGUCUGGGCAGGGUGAGAACUGGUGGGUCUGAGCAGGGUGAGAACAUGUGGGUCUGGGCAGGGUGAGAACAUGUGGGUCUGGGCAGGGUGAGAACUGGUUGGUCUGGGCAGGGUGAGAACAUGUGGGUCUGGGCAGGGUGAGAACUGGUGGGUCUGGGCAGUUGUGAUGUUGUUGAUGUUUGUCUGCAUCUAUAUGUUGUCUUUUGUUUGUGUAUGUUUGUAUUAUUAGAUAUUCAAACUUGUCCUCCAUAACGUUUGAGAUGGUGGCAAUUUGCCAAAGAAAUUCUAUAUUUUCAUUCUCCUAUUAAUUUCUAAGUCCUUGGCCGUGAUGAUUGUUUAUUGCUCUACCGUUUCUUCAUCCUGUCU